rnacentral:rRNA from 1 species
GCAGGCUGAAAUUCGCCUGCAUGAAGCCGGAAUUGCUAGUAAUGGCAGGUCAGCGUACUGCCGUGAAUACGUUCCCGGGCCUUGUACACACCGCCCGUCACACCAUGAGAGUUGGGAAUACCCGAAGCCUGUGAGCUAACUUUUAGAGGCAGCAGUCGAAGGUAGAAUCAAUGAUUGGGGUGAAGUCGUAACAAGGUAAC